rnacentral:rRNA from 1 species
GAUGAACGCUGGCGGCGUGCUUAACACAUGCAAGUCGAACGAUGAAGCCCAGCUUGCUGGGUGGAUUAGUGGCGAACGGGUGAGUAACACGUGAGUAACCUGCCCUUAACUCUGGGAUAAGCCUGGGAAACUGGGUCUAAUACCGGAUAGGAGCGUCCACCGCAUGGUGGGUGUUGGAAAGAUUUAUCGGUUUUGGAUGGACUCGCGGCCUAUCAGCUUGUUGGUGAGGUAAUGGCUCACCAAGGCGACGACGGGUAGCCGGCCUGAGAGGGUGACCGGCCACACUGGGACUGAGACACGGCCCAGACUCCUACGGGAGGCAGCAGUGGGGAAUAUUGCACAAUGGGCGCAAGCCUGAUGCAGCGACGCCGCGUGAGGGAUGACGGCCUUCGGGUUGUAUACCUCUUUCAGUAGGGAAGAAGCGAAAGUGACGGUACCUGCAGAAGAAGCACCGGCUAACUACGUG